UACGGGGGGGGCAAGCGUUGUUCGGAAUUACUGGGCGUAAAGGGCGCGUAGGCGGCCUUCUAAGUCGGACGUGAAAUCCCUCGGCUUAACCGAGGAACUGCGUCCGAGACUGAAAGGCUUGAAUCCGGGAGAGGGAUGUGGAAUUCCAGGUGUAGCGGUGAAAUGCGUAGAUAUCUGGAGGAACACCGGUGGCGAAGGCGGGUCUCUGGGCCGAUACUGACGCUGAGGAGCGAAAGCGUGGGGAGCGAACAGG
rnacentral:rRNA from 1 species